UGGCAUGUACAGUAAUUAGAACUCUCUGGGUGCUUCUCUUGAGACUCUAGCCAUGGCUUCCAUAAUUCAACAUUUACGGCUGAGGUCUUUAUCCAGAAAAUGUGGAAUUUAUUGGGAGCCUGAGAGAUGGAUGAGCCUGGCAAGGAAAUGUGUAUUGUAAUUUAGGGAUGUCCUGCUAUCUUUGAGUUUUCAGCAUUUUCUUUUUCUGUUUAGGCCUGCAUUCUGGAGACUUGCACCUCAGAAACAGACAACUUGAUAACCUGGGUAAAUGCUGGAAGUUUAACAUUGAAUGAAGAAGAACAAAACUGAUUCUUGAGACCUGCAUCACAGAAACAGAAAACUUGAUAACUUGGGAAAAUGGUGGAAGUGUAAUGCUGAAUGAACAAGAACAAAACUGAAAAUCCAGCUUUCUGAAGCGUAUUGAAUGGCAUGGCAUGGCUUAUGUGGCUUAAGCCCAGAGAACCCUAUGAUAGAAAGAAGCCACUCAAGUUACAAGGAUAUUUUACAUGUAUCUACCUAGAUUCUUGAGACAUGGACUGCAGAAGCAGACAACUUGAUAACUUGGGAAAAUGCUUGAAUUGCAAUGCUGAAUGAAUAACAACAAAACUGAAAAUCUAGCCUUCUGAAGCAUAUUGAAUGACAUGACAAGGGUUAUGUGGUUUAGGACCUGAGAAAACCAUGAUAGAAGGAAGCAACUGAAGUUACAAGGAUAUUUUACAUGUAUGCUGUAAGUAAAAGUUCAUACCGAUAAAUACUUACAACUUGUCCACAUAUGCCCACACAUACACAAUUACAUAGUAAAUGUAAAAGAGCAGAAUGCAAGAGAUAAAAUAUUAGUACACUAUCUAUUAAACUUUCAAGAUUAUAAUUACUUUAAUUGUAUUUUGAUCUAUUUAGUGAUACUUCUACCCAUAUAUGUUAUUCUUAUGAUUUGCUUAAUAGUAGAAGAAUGCUAUGAAAUUUAACCCUAAAAAACUACCAUGUUUCCCAUGUAUAGUUAAUCCUGUUAGGAAGUGCUCACUGUCCCAUGUUGAGUCAAGAAUUCAGGGCAUCAAAAUCCAUGUAUAGAGUGACCAGGAUGCAUCUGAAGAAGAGAAAUGGAAAUGGUUUUUUUUGUAUG